AGAGUUUGAUCAUGGCUCAGAACGAACGCUGGCGGCGUGGAUAAGACAUGCAAGUCGGACGGGAUUACUUUUGGUAGCAAUACCAGGAGUGAUUCAGUGGCGAACGGGUGCGUAACACGUGGGCAAUCUGCCUUAAAGUGGGGGAUAGCUCGCCGAAAGGCGAAUUAAUACCGCAUGUGAUCAGGGGAGACAUCUUCCCGAAAUCAAAGGUGGCGCAAGCUACCGCUUUUUGAGGAGCCCGCGGCCUAUCAGCUUGUUGGUGAGGUAACGGCUCACCAAGGCGUUGACGGGUAGCUGGUCUGAGAGGACGACCAGUCACACUGGGACUGAGACACGGCCCAGACACCUACGGGUGGCAGCAGUCGAGAAUUUUUCUCAAUGGGGGAAACCCUGAAGGAGCGACGCCGCGUGGAGGAUGAAGGUCUUCGGGUUGUAAACUCCUGUCAUUUGGGAACAAGGUGCGCGCGUUAACUGCACGCGCAUUGAUAGUACCAGAAGAGGAAGAGACGGCUAACUCUGUGCCAGCAGCCGCGGUAAUACAGAGGUCUCAAGCGUUGUUCAGAUUCAUUGGGCGUAAAGGGUGCGUAGGUGGCGCGGUAAGUCGGGUGUGAAAUUUCGGAGCUUAACUCCGAAACUGCAUUCGAUACUGCCGUGCUUGAGGACUGGAGAGGAGACUGGAAUUUACGGUGUAGCAGUGAAAUGCGUAGAUAUCGUAAGGAAGACCAGUGGCGAAGGCGGGUCUCUGGACAGUUCCUGACACUGAGGCACGAAGGCCAGGGGAGCAAACGGGAUUAGAUACCCCGGUAGUCC
rnacentral:rRNA from 1 species